rnacentral:sRNA from 1 species
GGGGGUUGAGCGUUCCGUGGGGAGAGUGCGAGGUCAGGCCAUGAACUUGGGAGAUGGUUUAAAGCUUGAAACUGAAUUACUGGAUGGAAAAACCAAGCUAAUAUUGUCUCCAUAUGAACAUAAAUCAAAAAUUUCUGUGAAGAUGGGAAAUAAAGCCAAGAUUGCAAAAUGUCCUUUAAGAACAAAAACUGGGCACAUUCUAAAAUCAACACAAGAUACUUGUAUUGGGAGUGAAAAACUUUUGCAAAAGAAGACAGUUGGUUCAGAAACAUCACAGGCAAAAGGUGAAAAAAAUAGAAUGACUUUUUCAUCCACUAAGGAUUUAUGUAAACAAUGUAUAGAUAAAGACUGUCUUCAUAUCCAGAAAGAGAUUUCACCUGCAACCCCUAAUAUGCAGAAGACUAGAAACACCGUAAAUACAUCUCUAGUAGGUAAACAGAAGCCUCACAAAAAACACAUCACAGCUGAAAACAUGAAGAGCAGUUUGGUGUGUCUAACACAAGAGCAACUACAACAGAUUUUGAUGACUGUAAACCAAGGAAAUAGAUCUCUUUCCCUGACUGAGAAUGGAAAGGAGGCAAAAACUGGGCAUAGAGACAAUUCAUGAAAAGGUGUUCCACUGAUUUCACAGCUAAAUAGGAAAAAUAACGUCAAGGUCAAUAUAGUCUACAUUUAAACAGUAUUUCUAAUCAGCCAAAGGAUGAGAACAUUAUGGGAUUAUUUAAAAAAACUGAAAUGGUUUCAUCUGUCCCAGCUGAAAAUAAAUCU